rnacentral:lncRNA from 1 species
AACUUAUUAAAAAUAGAAGAAAUAAAGUUGAAUGACGUCCUCAAGGACCGAACUUUAUAAGUUUUAUGACUGAACUGGACGGUACUGUAGUCUACAGUAUUAAAGAAGGACCGACACAACAUUAGGUAUAAGUAACAAACCUACAACUGCCAAUUUAUGUGUAAUUUAUAUAUUUUUACCCUAUUCUUAAAAUCUGUUUAAAAGUGUCAUUACUAUGGUGUUUGAUGGAACUGAACUAAUGCAACUAUGUAACAAAAUUUAAGUCAUGGUACGCCGACGGGCUAAAGCCUACAUUUUAUAUUGUUAUUUAAGUCGUAAAGCACGAAAAUGACCAUUAAAACCUUCAAUAAACAUAGAUUUUGCCUUUAGAGCCCUAAAAAAAAAUCAAUUUUUUAUAGUAUGAUUAUGAUUCAAAGCCAUAUUUAGACGAGAAAGAACUAUAUAUAAUUGUAUAAUUAUUUUGUGUGAAAACAUGGCUUUCAAUUGUAGUCAUACUCUAAAAAAAUGAUUUUAUUUUAAAAAUUCGUUUAAGACCAAACCAUGGUUCUUGGAAGAUUUUAAUGGUCAUUUUCAUGUUUUACGCCUUGAAUAGUAAUUUCAAUGUGACUUAUAAACCAUGGACAAAAAUGCUGUGAUAUAAAUAGGUCAACUUUUGACAGAAGACGCAUUGCAGAUCUAUUUUUUCUCCUAAAUAAUGAAAACUUCCUGAUUUGAUUACGCAUUUCCGCCUAGAUGAAUACUAUAAGUCGGGAUCGUUAAAUAAUUAUAAUAUUUAUUAAUGUGCAGCGGCGGAGUGGCACAAUUUUCACAGGGGAGGCCAUGACGUGUAAAUUUUACCGACUCCUUGAUCUUUUUUAUUUAAAGAAAGUGAAUAUUGUUUUUAAAUAUUUUCACACCACCAAUUUGGCAGCCCUAUAAAAUAUUCGUUCCUGAAAGGCCUCUCCGCCACUAAUAAUUUAAGAAACCCCCAUAAAGACAAAUAAAAAAAAAAUUGCCACUUACGUUCAUUGUCUGAGAAAUAUGUUUAGGAGUGUUUGAAACACCGUUUUGAUGCUGUUUAUGUGGAAGAGUUUGAAUAUUGGACGUGGCAUUGGGUGGCAUUCCUCCCUUAUUUUCUUCUCUCAUACCCAAUAGAUGGAAUGUAGCAUAUGGACUAAUAUCUUCAUCCGCAUUUCCAAUGGAUCCUCCAACUAAGUGUAUGAAUAAUAAGAGAGAAAGAAGUAUUAAAAUGAGUAAAUUGUGAAUUGUGAACAUAGAUGAAAACUUCGAGUAUGAAAGAAGAAGAUCCUAGAGAGUGAAAAUCGAAACGAAAAACUCAAUUGAAGAAUGAUAGAGAAAAAAAAAAAUAUAUAGUUUAGACUUUUACGAAAAAGAUAGUAUUUAAUGAAGUUGGAAAAAAAUGGAGAGGAUGGACGAUUAGGAGAAGGAGGUGUGAGAGAGGAAAGAAUUAUUCGGUGAUGAACAAACCUUGUCUUUGGGGAAUCAUAGGUACUUGUGAAUACUCGUCAGGUACUUGGGGAAGGUUGCCUUUACUGAUAGGAACAGCAUUACUACUGGGAGGUGGCCCCAUAUCCCCAUAAGGGAUCUCAUCGUAUUGAGGCAUUUCUUGUCCUUGCUUCUUUCGAGGAUCCCAAGUGGUGUAACUAGGUUGUUUCUUAUUUCCUAACGGAUGCAUAUAUUCAUUUAAAUUCAUGAUUUAUUUAAAGACGGAUUCAUCAAUGUAGCAUCGAUUCAAAGAGGAAAAGUACAUAUAUUUGUACUUUUGAGAACAUUCAAAAGAUGUGGGGUAAGUAUAUACUCUUUACAUGAUUUGAAUCAUUUUAAUGCGAGUACUUUUUAAUUACACAUAAAUAUCAAAUUAAAAUAUGAUAAAAGAUCAAUUGUAUUUUAUACUACACUAACAUUCAUUAUUUGAUGCAUCUGGCAACAAUUCAAGAUGGGAGUACAUUUUUCAUUAAUUUCACCAUCUAUUUUUAUUAUACUAUAUAUAUUAAUUGUUUCAAAAUCCACACCGUGGUAGUAUUAGAUAGCCGCAAAUACAUGUAUGCGUUCGUGUCAGAAAAUAUUGACAUCUCUAUAUUUUUCUCGAAGAUAAUUUUAGAAUAAACUUAUACAAAAAUGUUAACAAAACAACAAUAUCGAAUAAUAAAAAAAAAGUUUUAUUUAAAUCAUGAGCGUAAUGUUACUUAUAACUUUAUCUAUUAAACUCUUGAAAUUGUCUGAAGUCAACAAAGUUUUGUAUAUAAGAUAAUUUAGUUUUUUUGAAAAUGUAUUUGCUUCAUUGAACUUUAUCAUUAAAAGGUUUAAUUUACAAUAUCAAGCAUCUAAUUGCAUAAUUUUUUUUGCCCUUUUGAAUAGUGGUUGAUUGAAAAUAAAGGUUGAUGAGUUAAACUUAUCAUUAAACUUUGACAAAAAUAAUCUCAUCUUCAUUUUCAUUCACAAAUUCAUAAAGGAGACAAGUUUCAACAUUAUAUUUAGCAUUCUUAUAAGAAUGAGAUGGAUGAAAAAAUUAAGCUGAAUAUACCUGUCUCUCAAUUGUUGUUUUGUUCCUAAGAGUACUUAGUUUAAAAUUUUCUGUUUUCUUUCUACACAAUCUACAUUUGGAUAAAAUUUUAUGGGAUCCGCCUAGAGCAAUUUUCCUAAUACCCAUAUAAUCUAUAUUAAUAAAGCAAUGUUUCUACGCUUAUCGGCGCUUAAUAACUCUUAGUAAUGCAGGGUACUCCCGCUAGUACAUGAACAUAAUAAAGUGCAAUUGAAAUUGUAUUUCUAAAUCACGGAUGACGAUAGUUAUACAUAUCCAAGAACAUAGGCAUUGCCAUUUGAAGAAAUAAACAGAAAUCAGCUAUAAUCAUGACUGCUUUAUAAAUAUAUUGCUCCAUUAAUAUCAAUAUAUGUAUAUAAUAGCAUUUAUAUAAUGAUAAUUCCAAUUUAGACUUGAACUGCAGUUCUAUGAUAAAGACCAGAGGGAUGUCAAUACUUUCAGUUAUGUAAAAAAUAUAAGUAUUAAUAUAUAUAUUUUCAGAAAAAAACAAAGUUGUUAAUAGUUCGUAAUUAAUUUAAAAUCCAGUCCCAAAAUGCUAAAUGUAUUAAUUUUAUCUACUAGUGUUGGGAUUCGGUCUAAAAAUCCUAGACCCAUAUGAGACCGUGGUUAUUUGAAUUCUAAUUCGAUCCAACUUUGGUCUUGAACAGGUCUCAAUACAUUUGAUGAAAAAAAUAAAUAUAUAUAUACAAAAGAGAAAAAAUAUGUGUGAUCUUUUCUGUGGAAAUGAAAUUUGGAUCGAAAUUGAAUUUUUUGAGGGUCUCUGACCGAGUCUCAAUACUUAAUGUCUUCAUUUAUUUAUUUACAUGUGAAUUUUUUUCAGUACAUAAUAAAGUUUCCAUUUCUUUGUUGAAAAAAAAAAAAAAAAAAACGAAAAAAAAAUAGCAACCAUGUUCUCUUUUUUAAAUACAAUGAUCAGUUUGCAAUGUAUCAUAUACAAUGGAACCCGUUUAAGUCAGAUUUUAAGGAACUAACAAAAAAUAAAACAACCUUAAUGAAUUAAAACUGCGUGACCAAAAUAAAUCAUUGGUUCAACUAAGCGAAUAAGCUAUUCAUUUCAAAUUUGUUGAUUAUAAUUGUAUAUUAAUUUAAAAAAUUUGGAAUCACCCUUUGUACGUUUCAAAAUUUGUAAUUUGAACUUAAGUUACUUUUUGUACUAUUUCUAUAUAAAAAAAUAUAUGAACUACUGUUUGGAAUAAAUAAAAGAUGUCUUCAUCAUAAGAUUAAGUUU